UAUUAUGAUAACAAAGGAAUAAUAACGCUUGCCAAUCAUACAGCAAUAGCUGUUGAUUCUCAUUGGUAUAUGAUUUCUUGUCGACUUCAUUGUUGGCUCGUGUUUCUUAGUCGUCAGUUUUCUGUGUGGUUGACUGAUGUUUACGCAAACAAAGAAAUCUGGUUGACAAACUAAAAUCGGAGAAAACACAUCCACUAUAAGAGGAAAACAAUGGAACAACAGAACCACUGAACUACAACAAAAGCAAACGCCAACAUAAAAAAGAGCUGUCUGAUAACAACUACCAUUUUCCUGACUUGGUACAGGACAAUCUAAGAAAAAAAUAUUAGUUUAAAAUCGGUUUUAUAGCUAUAUAAAACUCCCGUUUAUAUGGCAAUGUUAAAAAAACGUUAACACGUGAAGUAGUCAUAUCGCAAAUUUUGGUAUUUAAUUGCAGCUUUGCUAUCGUCAAUUAACAGAAAUGUUGAAUUAUAUUUAUAAACGCAUUAACUUAUCAUUUAUACUAUUAAACAGAACAAAAAAAAAAAUCAAUAUUUGAUAAACUUCC
rnacentral:lncRNA from 1 species